GAAAAUCCAUCAAGUUGUACCCUACCCACCCUUUGGUGACUUUUCCAAGAAGCUGGGCUAAGUUCCAGGAGAAAGCUCUGAGACUUGAGAAUGACUUUAAACUGAGGAAGGAUCAAAGAAAAGGGAAGAAAAUGAAGAUAUAGAGCCAAAAAGAAAAAUCUUAAGGGAUAAUUGAUGGAGCUUGGUCCUAGCAGAGGUAGAAGGGCUUAGAUGAGAAUGGGAU
rnacentral:lncRNA from 1 species